AGCUAGAUCCAAUCUGACUGCAAUUCUAAAGUAAGUGGUGCAAUUGAAAAUUGUUCUCGGAAUAUUCUAACAUCCUACUGCUGUAGUCUCUUCUUUGCGCAUACACAGUCAGUAGUGUUACCUUGACGACGAUGACGACGUAGCAAUGUUAAUAGUAUACUUUCAAAUUGCUCUGUCAGGAGGAGAAAGCGCCGCUUGUUGUUAUAACAACCGGAGUGCAGUAACUUCUUGCUUGAAAAAAAAUGCUUUCACACAAUUUAGAAUGGGGCGGAAAGAUGCUUUGCUAGUACAUCUCACAGAGGGUAAUAAAACUAUGCGUGGGUGGUCAGAAAAUAAGAGACCCAUGCUUCCUGGUCAUCGGUCAGACUUCUUCCGAGUAAAAAAGUAGGGUAGCAUUUUAUUGUAAGCAUUCGUGUCUCAUAUUUCAACCAAAAUAAAUAGAUCCCACUAAAGAGAAAAAUAAAUCUUAGCCAGACGUGCAUUUACUGACUAGACCUGCUCUCUGAAAUGGAAAACAAAAAAUCAUUCGUUUUACACCAGGUUAUUAGGUACAUAUAGAUAACAGAGUUUGCAUGCUUGAUAUCAUACGCAUCUUACUCCCAGUAAUAUCUCCGUAACUCUACUACCAGAGCUAUGGCUUGAAGGAACGUGUAGAAAAAAUGAUCUAAUCGAACCACACUGGUAUAAAAUAGCCAAGUUUUUUUUAUUUUCAUUCUUUCGUUGAUUAAUUACAUUAAUUCAAUCUCGAUCGGGUAAGGCGCCAUUUAAAUUUAAUAAACAAAAAACUUAAAUUGCAUAAGCAUGUGCACCAAAUUGAACGGGUGUUAUGCUUGUUCUGUUGAAUAGUGGGCCCAGCUACUCCACUUGUUCCCGCGCUGGAUGAGUCUAGUUAAAUUGAUGAGCAGAUUCAUGGCAUUCAAGAGCCAGGCAAUAUUCUUCUCAAAAUAGCAGACGAAUGUAAGAUAUAUAGGGUUGUCUGACGGUAUAAGUAAAGUAGAAGUAGUAUCAGCAGCACACACAUGUUCCCGGAGUUAAAGCGUUCAAUCAAAAUCGCCUGCUAAGAUGCCAUCCACAAGAGGCCAACUUAGGCGGUAAAUGCCCCGCCAGUUAAAUGACUAGCGUUAUGUUCGUUUGAUUUUGUGUAUAAGUCGUGUGAGUGUGUACGUGUGUGUUUGCACGCGAGUAUGUAAUGUAACUGCUGUACGUGCCACCUCAACGCCAGCUACACAACACGGGAAUAACGAGUGCAAGCAGCACUGGCUGUAGACGUAAAACUAACUAAUGUAGAAUAUGAAUUGUGUGCAGGUACUAUACAGGAUAUUUCAAUUAAAAAAUUUAAAAAUAAGUUGUAGUACUUUUUUACUUUGAAAUCGAAUAGGUUUACGGAUCUUCUGAGAAAAAAAAGCUAAACGUUUCGUUCAUCAUGAGCUGCCAGUCACACGCUGCUAUACUAGUGAUUCACGUGGAUCGGUUUACUAGCUGCAGGUCAUUAAGCAUUCUAAAGGGGGCCAGCGUGCGUGUUGCAAUGCAUGAUCCAGGGUGCAUGAAAACAAAGGGUUGUUAAUUAAUGAUCGUACUUACGCAGGAACGUGGAAUGCCGUUUGGUAUUUGCCGGCUUCAUUCACCUCGAUUUCGUACUCGUCCUCACCGUCAUCAUCGCGGUACAUAUCAUCCUCAACGUAGC